UAUUAAACCACCCCCCAACUCUUCCCAACCCGACACCGCUGCUCCAUCGGAAUUCGAAACCCAUCUACACUUCCUUUCGUGUUGGUGUUCGGCAUUUAUAUUAUAUUAUCACGAAGGUCCAUUAUUACAGUUCAAUUGAUGCCGAUUCUCGUGGAAAAUACCCCCCCCCCCCCCCCCCAACUCUUCCCAACCCGACACCGCUGCUCCAUCGGAAUUCGAAACCCAUCUUCACUUCCUUUCGUGUUGGUGUUUGGCAUUUAUAUUAUAUUAUCAUGAAGGUCCAUUAUUACAGUUCAAUUGAUGCCGAUUCUCGUGGAAAAUUAUAUGCUGGAAGCGUUUCUUAUCGGUAAUCUUCAAGACCUGUGUUUUCCGGCCACAGACUGUGAGUCUGGUCUCUACUGUGGCCAAGCUAUAAAGCCCAUUUUAUUGCAGCAGCACCAUAGUGUCUUCUGGUGGAAGCUUUGAGAUGGGUUUUUUCAGCCCUGGUAGUUCCCGAAAUCAAUACUUAGGAAUAUGGUGCCGUUGUAUGGGUUCCCAAUAGAGAAAUCCCACUCCUCGAUCCGUCAAGCGUCUUAACUAUAAUCAACCCUGGAAUUCUUGCCCUUGUCAAUGGUACUGGCAGCGUCAUUUGGUCUCCCAAUAUGACAGGAUCUACACGGGACCCUGUUGCACGACUGAUGGAGUCUGGAAAUCUUCUGGUGGAAGAUGCCAACGAUAAGUCUGGGCUUUUUCUGUGGCAAAGUUUUGAUUAUCCGUGUGAUACUCUUUUACCGGGCAUGAAGCUUGGAAAGAACUUUGUAAUGGGCCUAGAGCGCCACCUCUCGUCCUAGAAGAGCAGUGAUGAUCCAGCUCAAGGUGAGUUUACAUACUGAUGUGAUCCUCAAGGAUACCCACAAAAUAUUCUGAGUAGGGGUUCUGUGGAACUGUUCCGAACUGGACCAUGGAAUGGUAUCAGAUUCAGCGGGAGACCAAGCCUUAAACCUGAUACAAUCUUCAGAUAUGAGGUGGUUUACACUAAAGAGGUGGUGUAUUAUCAUUAUGAACCCCUCAGCUCAGUUGUUUCAAGGUUUGCUCUGAGUCAUAAUGGUGUUGUCGAGCGCUGGAUAUGGAUUGAUCGAACACAGGAAUGGGUCCUUUACUCUACUGGACCAACCGAUACUGGGAUAACUAUAAAUUGUGCAGUCCGAACGGUAAUUGUAACAUUGGAAACUCACCGGCCUGUGGUUGUUUGAGUAAAUUUGUGUCCCAGAACCAAACUGAAUAGGGAAAUGGAUAUUGGUCUAAUGGGUGUGUUCGGAGGACACCGUUGGAUUGCCAUAAUGGAGAUGGAUUUGUCAAGUGUUCGGGCUAUAAAAUGUCGCACCCACGGAACUCCUGGUUCGACAGGAACAUGACACUCAGGGAAUGCAAGAUAGUAUGCUUGAAAAACUACUCUUUGUAUGGCUUACGCAAAUUUAGACAUAAGAAGAGGUGGAAGUCGCUGCUUACUUUGGUUUGAUGAGUUGAUUGAUAUGAGAGAGUUAAAUGCAAAUGAGCAACACGUUUACAGAAGGAUGGCUUCCUCUGAGUUAGGUCAGAAUUCAUACCAAACACAUAGAUUAGUGAACAUAGAUUGAUUAGAUUAUACAUAUGUAAGACCCAUGUAGUUAACUAUAUUGAACCUUUACAUUUCUUCCUCAAAAAUUCCUCACUGUAUUACUUUUCUACAUCUAACUACAUUUUAGCAAAAGGAGAGUUAAUUUUGGUUUCA